GCCAAUUUCACUACUGCCAUCAUUAUUUUCUUUAUCCAUUUCUUUUUCAUCUUUUGUUUCUAUUUCUUCACUACUAAGAAGGAAUUCUGCAGUCUCCUGAUUUCCUUCUUCUUCCUCCUCCUCUUCUUUCUCCUCCUCUUCCUCUAGUUCUUCCUCUUUCUCUUCUUUCUCUACCUUCUCUUCUCCAUCUUCCUCAGACUCAUCUGUCAUUUCUUCCUCUUCCUCCUC
rnacentral:lncRNA from 1 species